AAUCCAUAGGUUAAUGAGGCGAACCGGGGGAACUGAAACAUCUAAGUACCCCGAGGAAAAGAAAUCAACCGAGAUUCCCCCAGUAGCGGCGAGCGAACGGGGAGGAGCCCAGAGCCUGAAUCAGCAUGUGUGUUAGUGGAAGCGUCUGGAAAGGCGCGCGAUACAGGGUGACAGCCCCGUACACAAAAGCGCAUGUGCUGUGAGCUCGAUGAGUAGGGCGGGACACGUGGUAUCCUGUCUGAAUAUGGGGGGACCAUCCUCCAAGGCUAAAUACUCCUGACUGACCGAUAGUGAACCAGUACCGUGAGGGAAAGGCGAAAAGAACCCCGGCGAGGGGAGUGAAAAAGAACCUGAAACCGUGUACGUACAAGCAGUGGGAGCACAGGUUUACCUGUGUGACUGCGUACCUUUUGUAUAAUGGGUCAGCGACUUAUAUUCUGUAGCAAGGUUAACCGAAUAGGGGAGCCGGAGGGAAACCGAGUCUUAAUUGGGCGUUAAGUUGCAGGGUAUAGACCCGAAACCCGGUGAUCUAGCCAUGGGCAGGUUGAAGGUUGGGUAACACUAACUGGAGGACCGAACCGACUAAUGUUGAAAAAUUAGCGGAUGACCUGUGGCUGGGGGUGAAAGGCCAAUCAAACCGGGAGAUAGCUGGUUCUCCCCGAAAGCUAUUUAGGUAGCGCCUCGUGAACUCAUCUCCGGGGGUAGAGCACUGUUUCGGCUAGGGGGCCAUCCCGGCUUACCAACCCGAUGCAAACUGCGAAUACCGGAGAAUGUUAUCACGGGAGACACACGGCGGGUGCUAACGUCCGUCGUGAAGAGGGAAACAACCCAGACCGCCAGCUAAGGUCCCAAAGUCAUGGUUAAGUGGGAAACGAUGUGGGAAGGCCCAGACAGCCAGGAUGUUGGCUUAGAAGCAGCCAUCAUUUAAAGAAAGCGUAAUAGCUCACUGGUCGAGUCGGCCUGCGCGGAAGAUGUAACGGGGCUAAACCAU
rnacentral:rRNA from 1 species